CGAAGCCUUCGGGCUUAGUGGCAGACGGGUGAGUAACGCGUGGGAACAUACCUUUCGGUACGGAACAACAGUUGGAAACGACUGCUAAUACCGUAUGCGCCCUAUGGGGGAAAGAUUUAUCGCCGAGAGAUUGGCCCGCGUUAGAUUAGCUAGUUGGUGGGGUAAUGGCCUACCAAGGCGACGAUCUAUAGCUGGUCUGAGAGGAUGAUCAGCCACACUGGGACUGAGACACGGCCCAGACUCCUACGGGAGGCAGCAGUGGGGAAUAUUGGACAAUGGGGGCAACCCUGAUCCAGCCAUGCCGCGUGAGUGAUGAAGGCCUUAGGGUUGUAAAGCUCUUUCAGCGAGGAGGAUAAUGACGUUACUCGCAGAAGAAGCCCCGGCUAACUUCGUGCCAGCAGCCGCGGUAAUACGAAGGGGGCUAGCGUUGUUCGGAAUCACUGGGCGUAAAGCGCACGUAGGCGGAUUGAUAAGUUAGGGGUGAAAUCCCAGGGCUCAACCCUGGAACUGCCUUUGAUACUGUUAGUCUAGAGACCGAGAGAGGUGAGUGGAACUCCGAGUGUAGAGGUGAAAUUCGUAGAUAUUCGGAAGAACACCAGUGGCGAAGGCG
rnacentral:rRNA from 1 species